rnacentral:rRNA from 1 species
CCUACGGGUGGCAGCAGUGGGGAAUAUUGGACAAUGGGGGGAACCCUGAUCCAGCGACGCCGCGUGAGUGAAGAAGUAUUUCGGUAUGUAAAGCUCUAUCAGCAGGGAAGAAAGAAAUGACGUUACCUGUCUAAGAAGCCCCGGCUAACUACGUGCCAGCAGCCGCGGUAAUACGUAGGGGGCAAGCGUUAUCCGGAUUUACUGGGUGUAAAGGGAGCGUAGACGGCGAUGCAAGUCUGAAGUGAAAGGCGGGGGCCCAACCUCCGGACUGCUUUGGAAACUGUAUGGCUGGAGUACAGGAGAGGUAAGUGGAAUUCCUAGUGUAGCGGUGAAAUGCGUAGAUAUUAGGAGGAACACCAGUGGCGAAGGCGGCUUACUGGACUGUAACUGACGUUGAGGCUCGAAAGCGUGGGGAGCAAACAGGAUUAGAUACCCCAGUAGUC